rnacentral:rRNA from 1 species
GAAACUACGCCUACAUGAAGCUGGAAUUGCUAGUAAUCACAGGUCAGCAUACUGUGGUGAAUACGUUCCCGGGCCUUGUACACACCGCCCGUCACACCAUGAGAGUUGGGGAUACCCGAAGCCUGUGAGCCAACUGUAAAGAGGCAGCAGUCGAAGGUAGAAUCAAUGAUUGGGGUGAAGUCGUAACAAGGUACC